UCUGGCACCACACAUUUGUCUGUCUGGAUGGUUUUCUUGCCACCAACUGUCGAUUUCUCCCUCUCCUUUGUUCCCCUUUGCUGUGCGUUUCGCCCCUGAUAGAGGGGAAACACCUCAAUGCGUGUGGCAUCUCAGGGGCCAGUGCACCACCCACUCCGUGUGUGAGGAAGCCAAGCAGUCCACCCACCCACCCCCUCCCGCCAUGAUGCCGAACCACCUCUGGUGAUGACAAGGGCAGGCACCUACGGCCUAGGGGAGGGGUCAGGGCGGUGUGUCGCUGCUGAUGUCGGCUCUCAGGCCCUGGAUGGCGUUUGCGUCGAAGCCUCCUGCGACAGUGGAUACAUUCGUGCCAUCUAUGUGGUGGGCAGAGCAUCAGCGUGGCUGGAACGUAUCCCGUCCCCGGCCCUCACACUGCCUACUGGUGUAUGGCGCCUGCGCGUCACCCCGACGGGGAUGCACCAGCUGGCGACCGGCAAAAUGGGAGUAGCUGUGAAGCCAUCUGGGAGGAGUCGGGUGGGUGGGUAGCGUUCGAGGCCGAUGCAGUACUCUCAGAUGGCCUCGUGGACGCACUGCUGUGAGGCGUGUCUGGCGCUGCUUCGCACGACGAGGUGAGGCCUGUGUAAGGUCGGGGUAGAGUGGAGUUUACGCAUGUUUCGUGACAGAGAAUGGCCCCGUUGAAAAGCAAAAGAAAGUGGAAAAAAGCGGCGCACCGAUGGCAAGAGGCAGGGAGUGGUGACGCAGGUGUGCUGCGCCCGUGCGCGCACGUCAGUGUGCGUGAGGAAAAGCACGACUGGAAGGGGGAAGCCGCUCGCUUCGAACACUUGCCCCGGCAAGUAACGUCUUUUUCUUUAUAUAUUCCUCGUCUUUUUUGUGGAACUUCAUGGUGAAUGAUACCGCAAAG
rnacentral:misc_RNA from 1 species